AGUGAACGCUGGCGGCGUGCUUAACACAUGCAAGUCGAACGAGAACGGAUUAUAGCUUGCUAUAAUUGUCGGCUAAGUGGCGCACGGGUGAGUAAUGUAUAGGUAAUAUGCCUCUUACUAAGGGAUAACGAAUGGAAACGUUUGCUAAUACCUUAUACUCCUUAUUAACAGAAGUUAAUAAGGGAAAGAUUUAUUGGUAAGAGAUUAGCCUGUAUUGUAUCAGUUAGUUGGUGGGGUAAUGGCUUACCAAGACUGUGACACAUAACUGGUUUGAGAGGAUGAUCAGUCACACUGGAACUGAGACACGGUCCAGACUCCUACGGGAGGCAGCAGUGGGGAAUAUUGCACAAUGGACGAAAGUCUGAUGCAGCAACGCCGCGUGGAGGAUGACACAUUUCGGUGCGUAAACUCCUUUAUAUGAGAAGAUAAUGACGGUAUUAUAUGAAUAAGCACCGGCUAACUCCGUGCCAGCCGCCGCGGUAA
rnacentral:rRNA from 1 species